AACGAACGCUGGCGGCGUGCCUAACACAUGCAAGUCGAGCGAGAAAGCCCGCAAGGGUGAGUACAGCGGCGCACGGGUGCGUAACACGUGGGUAAUCUACCCUGAAGCUUGGAAUAACUCCCCGAAAGGGGAGCUAAUACCAGAUAAGACCACGGGAGCCUCGGCUCCUGCGGGAAAAGGUGGCCUCUGCAUGCAAGCUAUCACUUCAGGAUGAGCCCGCGGCCCAUCAGCUAGUUGGCGGGGUAACGGCCCACCAAGGCUACGACGGGUAGCUGGUCUGAGAGGACGAUCAGCCACACUGGAACUGAGACACGGUCCAGACUCCUACGGGAGGCAGCAGUGGGGAAUCUUGCGCAAUGGGCGAAAGCCUGACGCAGCAACGCCGCGUGUGUGAUGAAGGUCUUCGGAUCGUAAAGC
rnacentral:rRNA from 1 species